rnacentral:lncRNA from 1 species
GACCAUUGUGAACCACGCUUGCCCCAUGGAUCACUGGAGCCAUUUUCAUGGACCGCGAUUUUAGACCACGGUGGACUGGCACUCGGGCCUAGGUCGCACGCCCCAUGCAUCCUCUAUGACACGUAUUUUGCACUACAAAUAUUAGUGUUGCCGCCGGAGAGAUAAUCUAGCCUAAGCUGUUGAGCUGGAAUUGAGAAGGAGAGGAGCGGUGGUCUCUGGAGGGCUCGCCAAGAUCUCUGAUGUGCGCACAAGUCAGCACCCAAUCCUUAAGCUAGACCCUACAAAACUACCAAAGAUAGGAAAAGUCCUCACAC